rnacentral:rRNA from 1 species
GAUGAACGCUGGCGUCGUGCCUAAUACAUGCAAGUCGAGCGAACGGACGAGAAGCUUGCUUCUCUGAUGUUAGCGGCGGACGGGUGAGUAACACGUGGAUAACAUACCUAUAAGACUGGGAUAACUUCGGGAAACCGUAGCUAAUAACGGAUAAUAUUUUGAACCGCAUGGUUCAAAAGUGAAAGACGGUCUUCCUGUCACUUAUAGAUGGAUCCGCGCUGCAUUAGCUAGUUGGUAAGGUCACGGCUUACCAAGGCAACGAUGCAUAGCCGACCUGAGAGGGUGAUCGGCCACACUGGAACGAAGACACGUUCCAGACUCCUACGGGAGGCAGCGGUAGGGAAUCUGCCGCAAGGGGCGAAACCCUGACGAGGCAACGCCGCGGGAGGGAUGAAGGUCUUGGGAUCGUAAAACUCUUUUAUGAGGGAAAAACAUAUGAGGAAGUAACUGUGCACAUCUUAACGGUACCUAAUCAGAAAGCCAGGGCUAACUACGG